rnacentral:rRNA from 1 species
GACGAAGGUGGCAAGCGUUGUUCGGAUUCACUGGGCAUAAAGGGCGCGUAGGCGGUUUCGUAAGCGGCAUGUGAAAGCCCCUGGCUCAACCAGGGAAGUGCGUGCCGGACUGCGAAGCUAGAGGGUGGUAGGGGGGACUGGAACUCUCGGUGGAGCGGUGAAAUGCGUAGAUAUCGAGAGGAACACCGGUGGCGAAGGCGAGUCCCUGGUCCACUUCUGACGCUGAGGCGCGAAAGCGUGGGUAGCAAACAGG